UCUUCUUUGCUGGCGACCGGCGCACGGGUGAGUAACACGUAUCCAACCUGCCCUUUACUCGGGGAUAGCCUUUCGAAAGAAAGAUUAAUACCCGAUAGCAUAAUGAUUCCGCAUGGUUUCAUUAUUAAAGGAUUCCGGUAAAGGAUGGGGAUGCGUUCCAUUAGGUUGUUGGUGGGGUAACGGCCCACCAAGCCUUCGAUGGAUAGGGGUUCUGAGAGGAAGGUCCCCCACAUUGGAACUGAGACACGGUCCAA
rnacentral:rRNA from 1 species